rnacentral:rRNA from 1 species
CAGCAGCCGCGGGAAUACGAAGGGGGCUAGCGUUGCUCGGAAUUACUGGGCGUAAAGGGCGCGUAGGCGGAUGUUUAAGUCAGAGGUGAAAGCCCAGGGCUCAACCUUGGAACUGCCUUUGAUACUGGACAUCUUGAGUAUGGGAGAGGUGAGUGGAACUCCGAGUGUAGAGGUGAAAUUCGUAGAUAUAUGGAGGAACACCGGUGGCGAAAGCGGCUCUCUGGCUUGUAACUGACGCUGAGGCUCGAAAGCGUGGGGAGCAAACAGGAUUAGAUACCCCCGUAGUCCCUGUCUCUUAUAC